AGCUCCAAUAGCGUAUAUUAAAGUUGUUGCAGUUAAAAAGCUCGUAGUUGGAUUUGGGACCGGAGCGGGGAGGUCGGCCGCGAGGUCUGUUACUUCCGCGCUUCGUCUUAAUUUCCGAAGACCCGUCGUGUACUUCGCUGUGUGCGGCGCGGGACUCGGAACGUUUACUUUGAAAAAAUUAGAGUGUUCAAAGCAGGCUCUCACAGCCAGAAUACAUGAGCAUGGAAUAAUGGAAUAGGACCGCGGUCUUAUUUUGUUGGUUUCUAAAACCGCAGUAAUGAUUAAGAGGGACAAUUGGGGGCGUCCGUAUUUCGUUGUCAGAGGUGAAAUUCUUGGAUUUACGAAAGACGAACAACUGCGAAAGCAUUCGCCAAGAGUGUUUUCAUUAAUCAAGAACGAA
rnacentral:rRNA from 1 species